ACACAGUUUAUAUCCUUGAAUAGGUAGGAAAACAAUGAACACGAUAAGUAAAAGAAUCAUUGCAACCUUGUUGGGGAUAUUCAGAAACAGAAAAUAACACCUGCUUUCUCAUUUCCAGAGCUAUCAGCUUCCCAGUUUGCACAAUUCAUCAAGAAAUUAUGCGGGGUCACUGGCACAAAUGAUGAGGCAUCUCCUGGGAGCUUAACUUCUUAUCCAUCCCAUCUCUUGGACAGAUGAUGCCAGUUAAUUACUUUGAAUAGAAGACUCACUGGUGGCACCUGCAGCUGCGGCGUUUUCCCCAAGGGGUCUGUCACACGCAGCCCAACUCAACUGGAGUCCUGAGAAGGUGAACAGACCAGGAUGGAUGCCCAGGGAACUCACCAGAAGUCCCCAGGCAUCAGAACAAGGUCGAAACAUCCUGAUUGGGGUACCAGAGGCCCAGGCAGUACUUUUGGGGUAGACGAGGUACAGACCUUUGGCUCCUCACUGUCUUCAAGCCCACAAGAAGCAUAGAGCAGAAGAAGACAGAGGAGGGCCCAUCUGGCCCACUACCUGUUCUUGUAAAUAAAGCUUUAUUGAAGGUGCUCACCUUCUAGCACAUUCUUCAAGAGUGACUCUGAGGCAAGCCAGCCGCCAUGUCAUGAGGACACUCAAGCAGCACCAUGGAGAGGUCCGAUGGCGAGGAACAGAGGAUCCCCCUGCCGACAGCCAAUGAGGAACAGGCCUCCUGCCAACAGCCGUGUAAGGGGUCACCUUGGAAGCCAAUGGCCCCUCCCUGGUCAGGCUUUUACAUGACUGCAGUCCUGGCCAACAUCCUGACGGCAACCUCAUGAGAGACCUUGAGCCAGAGCCACCCACCUAAGCUGCUUCUAGGUUCCUGGCCCUCAGAAACCACGUGAGAUCAUAAAUGUUUGCUCAAUUUGAGAUAUUUGUGAUGUAGCAAUAAAUAACAAAUACACUUACCUUUCAGGGUUAUUAUGAGAAUUAAGAGUUAAUACACAUCAAACUACAACCAAACUUGCUGGGACCAGAGGCUCAAGAAAGGGCAGACAGGGCCGGGUGCAGUGGCUCACGCCUGUAAUCCCAAUACUUUGGGAGGCCGAGGCAGGUGGAUCACCUGAGGUCAGGAGUUCGAGACCAGCUGGCCAACAUGGUGAAACCCUGUGUCUACUAAAAAUACAAAAAUUAGCCAGGCGUGGUGGCGGACACCUGUAAUCCCAGCUACUCGGGAGGCUGAGGCAGGCCUCACUUGAACCUGAGAGCUGGAGGCUGAAGUGAGCAGAGAUCAUGCCACCACACUCCAGCCUGGGUGACAGAGCGAGACUCCGUCUCAAAAAAAAAAAAAAAAAAAAAAGAAGAAGAAGAAAGGGCAGACAGAAACCACAGAAGGAGGAGUGGUUAGCUAGGUCCAGGCCAGGUGGGGUCCUGCUCCUGACGUGGAUGGGUCUGGGAGACCAAAUAUGCAAAUGGACAAUGGCCAGACCACAUAUUAAAAUAGAACUCUGCCCCCAAACCUACAGCACCAGCCCAGGAAGCCAACGAACAACCCCUGCAGCAAUCAGCCCCAAAUGGCCAGGACUUGAUGGUAACUGACAGCUUCCCUAAUUUUGUUCCCACUUUCAAUGCAGGACAAACCGGAGAAAGCCAAAUAUGCUCCCCUAACCAAUUACUUAGGAUGCCCCUCUUCUAAUGAGCCCAACUGUAGCUUUCCUGCACCACCAACAGGACGUACCUGAAGCCUUCUCCUUUUUCCGCUAUAAAGCCUUCCCCUCGACCUGCCUUUGAGUCUCCAUGAAAAGCAAGUGACAGUGGCUGCCUCCCUUACUGUAGCAAGCUCUGAAUAAACAGCCUUUGCUUGCUCUCAUGUGAGUGGUCUUUGUUU
rnacentral:lncRNA from 1 species